rnacentral:rRNA from 1 species
CCUACGGGUGGCAGCAGUGAGGAAUAUUGGUCAAUGGACGAGAGUCUGAACCAGCCAAGUCGCGUGAGGGAAGACGGCCCUACGGGUUGUAAACCUCUUUUGCCGGGGAGCAACGGGCGCCACGUGUGGCGCCACUGAGAGUACCCGGAGAAAAAGCAUCGGCUAACUCCGUGCCAGCAGCCGCGGUAAUACGGAGGAUGCGCGCGUUAUCCGGAUUUUUUGGGUUUAAAGGGGGCGUAGGCGGAGCGUUAAGUCAGUGGUCAAAUUGAGGGGCUCAACCCCUUCCCGCCAUUGAAACUGGCGCUCUUGAGUGGAAGAGAAGUAUGCGGAAUGCGUGGUGUAGCGGUGAAAUGCAUAGAUGUCACGCAGAACCCCGAUUGCGAAGGCAGCAUGCCGGCUUCCGACUGACGCUGAAGCACGAAAGCGUGGGGAUCGAACAGGAUUAGAUACCCGUGUAGUC